CUGCCCUCCCAGCUCUGUGGCCCCUCAAAUCUAAAGCCUGGAAAACAACGGGCCAGGGACCUUCCAUCCGUGAGGAGUAUCAGAAAACCCGCUGCUCCUCUCGAACCCUCCCUCCUCCGGCAGGAUUAAUGCCGUUCUGCAGGCUCAGCAAGAAUCUCUGGUUACCACGGCAACCUUGCUCAGGGAGGAGAGUGCGGGCCUCACUUGGGAAUGGGAAGCUGGGUUUCCAAGGCAGCGCCGACUUUAGAAUCAGAAAGAAAAAGCUACUGAAAGGCUCCUGUGCCCUUCACCUUGCAUUAUUCCUGUGUUGCCCACCUGACUGUCCCUCGGGGUGGGUAAGGGCUGGCACAGAUGGAAGACCAUGCACACAGCCACCGCUGCCCUUCACUGCUCCUUCCAAGAGAGGAGCUGAGACGAAGAUGGAGGGAGAAUGUGUCCUAGUUCACCUUGUUCCUGAGGCAGGAGUGUUUUGCCGCUUAUGAAGUUUGAUAGUUAGCCAAUGUUUAAGAGUUGAAGAAGAGAAAUAAAUUGCCU
rnacentral:lncRNA from 1 species